ensembl:lncRNA
GGUAAUGACAGUACAUCAGAGCUGAAGUGCAGGGCUACGGAAAACAUUCAGACUUCUUUUUUCCCAGCUGGAAUACACAAAGCUUUCUGAAAGGACCCUCUGGGUGGCAUUUCUCUAAUGAACAGUGAACUUGCUUUCCUAAGCUGUGUCAGAUUGUUACAAAGAAGACAAAGGAACUGUGCAUGCCUGAGUCAAGUUGAUGGCAGUGGACUCUUCAGCGGUGAGUGACAGCAGAACAAGGUUCAACAGACAGAAACUAGAACGCAGGAUGUUCUGUACUAACACAGGGAAGAACUUUACUGUGAAGGUGAUAGAGCUCUGAAACAGGCUGCCCAGAGAAGUUAUGGAGACUCCUUCUCCGGAGAUUUUCAAUACCUUCCUGGACACCUACCAGUACAACUCUCUGCAGGGACCCUGCUUUAGCAGAGGGUUGAACUUAAUAAUCUCCAGAGAUCCCUUCCAAUUCCUACAGUUCUGUCAUUCUGUGUGAUUCACUUCUAAUGCUGUACCCUUAGGUCAGCAGCCUGAUUUAAAUGUUUCUGCUUCUUCAUCUCUAAUUAUGAAAUCAAUUUACUUUAUUAUGAGGAUAUCACUGCUUUACAGCUACUAAUUUUGAUAUUUUUAUAUUCCAAAGUUCAAGUUUGUUUUUGCCUGUGGUACAUGCAGAUGGCUGUUUUGUGGAUGUGAAAUACUGAAAAGCUCAUAGAGCCAAAACACAGCAGGAGUCUUUAGGAAAUAGGCCAACAGACAGGGCAA